GGAGGUGUAGCUCAGUGGUAAAGUGCUUGCCUAGUAGCACAAGGCCCUGGGUUCAAACUCCAGUACUGCCA
rnacentral:tRNA from 1 species